UACGUAGGUCCCGAGCGUUGUCCGGAUUUAUUGGGCGUAAAGCGAGCGUAGACGGCAAUGCAAGUCUGGAGUGAAAGGCGGGGGCCCAACCCCCGGACUGCUCUGGAAACUGUAUAGCUGGAGUGCAGGAGAGGUAAGUGGAAUUCCUAGUGUAGCGGUGAAAUGCGUAGAUAUUAGGAGGAACACCAGUGGCGAAGGCGGCUUACUGGACUGUAACUGACGUUGAGGCUCGAAAGCGUGGGGAGCAAACAGG
rnacentral:rRNA from 1 species